rnacentral:rRNA from 3 species
CCUUGGUGCUCUAUGUUAGCUUGGACCCACUCCUAUCCAUCUCGAACUAGGACGUGAAAUAGGCUAAAGGUUUAACAAACUACGUGCAACGCGCGUUGGGAACGUAAACUUAGUGCCAGGG